UACGUAGGGGCCGAGCGUUGUCCGGAUUUAUUGGGCGUAAAGAGCGUGUAGGCGGCCGCUUAAGUCCUGCGUGAAAUCUCGGAGCUCAACUCCGAGCGGUCGUGGGAAACUGGGCGGCUAGAGUGCGGGAGAGGAGAGUGGAAUUCCUGGUGUAGCGGUGGAAUGCGCAGAUAUCGGGAAGAACACCCGUGGCGAAGGCGGCUCUCUGGGACGGUACUGACGCUGAGACGCGAAAGCGUGGGGAGCGAACAGG
rnacentral:rRNA from 1 species